CCUACGGGAGGCCGCAGUCGGGAAUAUUGCUCAAUGGAGGAAACUCUGACGCAGUAACGCCGCGUGCAGGAAGAAGGUUUUCGGAUUUUAAACUCCUUUUGAUAGAGAAGAUAAUGACGGUACCUAUCGAAUAAGCUCCGGCUAACUCCGUGCCAGCAGCCGCGGUAAUACGGAGGGAGCAAGCGUUAUACGGAUUCACUGGGGGUAAAGAGGGCGUAGGCGGGAAAGCAAGUCAGAUGUGAAAUACUUCGGCUUAACGAAGGAACUGCAACUGAAACUGUGGUUCUUGAGUGUGGGAGAGGUAGGUGGAAUUCGUGGUGUAGCGGUAAAAUGCGUAGAGAUCAAGAGGAACACCAAUUGCGAAGGCGACCUGCUGGAACGUAACUGACGCUGAGGCGCGAAAGUGUGGGGAGCAAACAGGAUUAGAUACCCCAGUAGUC
rnacentral:rRNA from 1 species